UGGCGGACGGGUGAGUAAUGUCUGGGAAACUGCCUGAUGAGGGGGAUAACUACUGGAAACGGUAGCUAAUACCGCAUAACGUCGCAAGACCAAGAGGGGGACCUUCGGGCCUCUUGCCAUCGGAUGUGCCCAGAUGGGAUUAGCUAGUAGGUGGGGUAACGGCUCACCUAGGCGACGAUCCCUAGCUGGUCUGAGAGGAUGACCAGCCACACUGGAACUGAGACACGGUCCAG
rnacentral:rRNA from 1 species